UGCUAAUGACACGAUCAUCAUCAUCAUCAUCAUAGUCAACAGUCAACGACGUCUUCUUUGGAAGUGACAAUUUUGUUCCGACGAUUUUUUCUUUCUUUGAUUGAAACAAUGUUUGGUU